rnacentral:rRNA from 1 species
GGUUUACCUGUGUGACUGCGUACCUUUUGUAUAAUGGGUCAGCGACUUAUAUUCUGUAGCAAGGUUAACCGUAUAGGGGAGCCGGAGGGAAACCGAGUCUUAAUUGGGCGUUAAGUUGCAGGGUAUAGACCCGAAACCCGGUGAUCUAGCCAUGGGCAGGUUGAAGGUUGGGUAACACUAACUGGAGGACCGAACCGACUAAUGUUGAAAAAUUAGCGGAUGACCUGUGGCUGGGGGUGAAAGGCCAAUCAAACCGGGAGAUAGCUGGUUCUCCCCGAAAGCUAUUUAGGUAGCGCCUCGUGAAUUCAUCUCCGGGGGUAGAGCACUGUUUCGGCUAGGGGGCCAUCCCGGCUUACCAACCCGAUGCAAACUGCGAAUACCGGAGAAUGUUAUCACGGGAGACACACGGCGGGUGCUAACGUCCGUCGUGAAGAGGGAAACAACCCAGACCGCCAGCUAAGGUCCCAAAGUCAUGGUUAAGUGGGAAACGAUGUGGGAAGGCCCAGACAGCCAGG